GUUUACAAAACACGAGGAUCAGAAGCAUUUAAUCACUAAUCGGUUAGCAUUACUCUUUUACUGCAAAUAAGUAAAUACUGAAUAGUAAUAAUCAUAACACCAAGUAGAAGUGACUCAUGAAUCAUAAUUUAUCAUGGUAGCAGUUAUUUCCACGACUACUUAUUUAGUUUUAAUCACUAUUAAAGAUAUCUAUAAAAUGGAGAUGAGGUUAUUCCAAAAAAUGAUAACACAUGUUAAUAAAUAAAUAUAAUGU